UCUGAUCUCGGAAGUCAAGCAAUCUCGGGCUUUGUUAGUACUUGGAUGGGUGACCGCUUGGGAAUACCAAGUGUGAUAAGGA
rnacentral:rRNA from 1 species